rnacentral:tRNA from 1 species
GGUGCCGGCGGGACGGGCCGUCCCCGUCCCCUACAACGGGUCGGUGGCGCGGCUGGCGUUCGGGUUCCUGUCGGCGUCAC